rnacentral:rRNA from 1 species
UUUAAGGUCUAACCUGCCCAAUGAGGAUUUAAAUGGCCGCAGUAUUUUGACUGUGCAAAGGUAGCAUAAUUAUUAGUUUUUUAAUUGAAAGCUUGUAUGAAGGGUUGGACGAGAUAAAAUCUGUCUUUAUUUAAAUUAAAGUAUAAUUUAACUUUUAAGUCAAAAGGCUUAAAUGUUUAUAAAAGACGAGAAGACCCUAUAGAUCUUUAUUUAAUUAAGAUUUUAAUAAUUUAGGAUUAUUUUAAUUUGGGGUUUUAAUUAAAUUUUAUUGGGGUAAUAUAAAGAUUAAAUAAAUUCUUUUUAUUUAUAACAUUAAUUUAUGAAUAUAUGAUCCAUUAAUAUUGAUUAUAAGAUUAAGUUACCUUAGGGAUAACAGCGUAAUUUUUUUGGAGAGCUCAUAUCGAUAAGAAAGUUUGCGACCUCGAUGUUGGAUUAAAAAUUAGCUUGGGUGCAGAAGCUCAAGAUUUUGGUCUGUUCGACCAUUAAAUUUUUACAUGAUCUGAGUUCAGACCGGCGUAAGCCAGGUCGGUUUCUAUCUUUAUUUAGAUAAAAUAUUUUAGUACGAAAGGACCAAGUAUUUAAUAUAAUUAUAUUUAUUUUUUGAAGAAUAUU